UACAAAAUGACUCUCGGCAACGGAUAUCUCGGCUCUUGCAUCGAUGAAGAACGUAGCGAAAUGCGAUACUUGGUGUGAAUUGCAGAAUCCCGUGAACCAUCGAGUCUUUGAACGCAAGUUGCGCCCGAAGCCAUUAGGUUGAGGGCACGCCUGCCUGGGUGUCACA
rnacentral:rRNA from 5 species